rnacentral:rRNA from 1 species
UACAGAGGUCUCAAGCGUUGUUCGGAUUCAUUGGGCGUAAAGGGUGCGUAGGCGGCGCGGUAAGUCGGAUGUGAAAUCUCGGAGCUUAACUCCGAAACUGCAUUCGAUACUGCCGUGCUUGAGGACUGGAGAGGAGACUGGAAUUUACGGUGUAGCGGUGAAAUGCUUAGAUAUCGUAAGGAAGACCAGUGGCGAAGGCGGGUCUCUGGACAGUUCCUGACGCUGAGGCACGAAGGCCAGGGGAGCAAACGGG